rnacentral:rRNA from 1 species
AUACGGAGGGUGCAAGCGUUAAUCGGAAUUACUGGGCGUAAAGCGCUCGUAGGCGGCUUGUUAAGUCGGAUGUGAAAGCCCCGGGCUCAGCCUGGGAACUGCAUUCGAUACUGGCAGGCUAGAGUAUAGUAGAGGCAAGUGGAAUUCCGGGUGUAGCGGUGAAAUGCGUAGAUAUCCGGAGGAACAUCAGUGGCGAAGGCGACUUGCUGGACUAAUACUGACGCUGAGGAGCGAAAGCGUGGGGAGCAAACGGGAUUAGAAACCCCAGUAGUCC